rnacentral:rRNA from 1 species
CUUAGCGAAUAAAAACAUUAAACAGAUGAAUAAAGUGAUGAUAAACAUACUCAAGAACAGCCUUUACGCAUUGCUGAAAAAGUUACAGAAAAAGGACUUCACGCCAAUCAUCAACAUACACGUAGAAAAGAGACUGAACGGGACAAUCUUCCUCUGCAUUCGCGACAACGGCAUCGGCAUCGAAGACAAUAUCAAAGCCAAGAUAUUCGAACCGUUUUUCACCACGAAGCCCACUGCCGAGGCAGCGGGUGUCGGCUUGUAUCUCUGCCGUGAGGUGAUCUUGAACCACCAAGGCUCCAUCAUCGUGAAAAGCGAGAAGGACAACUUUACCGAGUUUAUGAUUACGAUUCCUAUUUAUCAAAAAAGCAACAACAAUGAAUGAGGACAGUAUGAAAGAGUUAGAACGUCUGAGAAAACAGAUUAGCCAACAGGAAAAGAUGGCUUCACUCGGACUGUUGAGCGCAGGUAUCGCACAUGAGAUACAGAACCCGCUCAACUUCGUGAUCAACUUCAGCAAACUAUCAUGUAAGUUGCUGCAAGAUAUGGAAGACGUAUUGGACGAACUGGAAAGCAAGCUCUCUGCCGAGGUGGACGAGGAGAUUAGGGAAAUCAUGGACGACCUCAAAAGCAACAUGUGCAAGAUCGAGGAAAACGGCAACCGGGCAUCAAGUAUCGUCCGAGGCAUCCUGCUCUAUUCCCGCGGCAAGGACAACGAAUACAUACCGACUGACAUCUGCCAGCUGACAAAAGAAUAUGUAUGGCUUUCCUACCAUGCUGUCCGCGCCAAUAACAAGAGCUUCAAUGUUACCAUCAUAGAAGAAUACGACAAUACACUCCCGUUGGUCAAAGUAAUCCCGCAGGACUUCAGCCGCGCUGUUCUCAACCUGAUGAACAACGCCUGUUAUGCUGUCUUCAGCAAAUCCAAAGGUGUCGCUGAAAAUCCUUAUAGUCCGACCAUCAAGGUAAGACUGGCAAAAGACAGCGACCGGGUACGGUUGGUUAUCGAAGACAACGGCCCGGGAAUCACGAAGGAGGUCAAAGAGAAACUUUAUACGCCGUUCUUCACCACCAAACCGGUCGGAGAAGGAACCGGUCUCGGCCUCUCUAUCACCAAGUCGAUCAUCGAACAAAAACAUAACGGAACGAUCGAGAUGGAAUCGGAGCCGAACGAAUUCACCCGUUUCACAAUCACCAUUCCGAUUAAAUAAUCAGAGAAACAACGCUACUAUGGCUAUAAAAAUAUUAAGUGUAGACGACGAACUUGACCUGGAAAUAUUGCUGACUCAAUAUUUCCGGCGCAAAAUAAAGAAAGGUGAAUACGAAUUCCAUUUCGCCCACAACGGACUGGAAGCACUCCAAAUGCUGCUUGCCAUGCCGCUGGAAGGUUAAGAGGGGAUGUCAUCGCAAGAGAAGCAUUGAAUCGAAGCCCCAGUAAACGGCGGCCGUAACUAUAACGGUCCUAAGGUAGCGAAAUUCCUUGUCGGGUAAGUUCCGACCUGCACGAAUGGUGUAACGAUCUGGACACUGUCUCAACCGUGAGCUCGGUGAAAUUGUAGUCCCGGUGAUGAUGCCGGGUACCCGCAACGGGACGAAAAGACCCCGUGAACCUUUACUAUAGCUUAACGCUGAAUUUGGGUACACAAUGUGUAGGAUAGGCCGGAGGCUUUGAAGCGGGCACGCCAGUGUUCGUGGAGCCGACGUUGAAAUACGGCCCUUUGUGUAUUUGAGUUCUAACCCUGCGAAGGGGACACCGUUUGGUGGGUAGUUUGACUGGGGUGGUCGCCUCCAAAAGCGUAACGGAGGCUUCCCAAGGUACCCUCAGCACGAAUGGUAACCGUGCGCGGAGUGCAAUAGCAUAAGGGUGCUUGACUGUGAGACAUACAAGUCGACCAGGUACGAAAGUAGGGUAUAGUGAUCCGGUGGUUCUGCGUGGACUGGCCAUCGCUCAAAGGAUAAAAGGUACUCCGGGGAUAACAGGCUGAUCGCCGCCAAGAGCUCAUAUCGACGCGGCGGUUUGGCACCUCGAUGUCGGCUCGUCACAUCCUGGGGCUGGAGAAGGUCCCAAGGGUUCGGCUGUUCGCCGAUUAAAGUGGCACGCGAGCUGGGUUCAGAACGUCGUGAGACAGUUCGGUCUCUAUCUGUUGCGGGCGUAGGAAGAUUGAGGGGUCCUGACUUUAGUACGAGAGGACCGAGUUGGACGAACCUCCGGUGUAUCGGUUAUGCUGCCAAGUGUACUGCCGAGUAGCCGCGUUCGGUCUGGAUAAGCGCUGAAAGCAUCUAAGCGCGAAGCCAUCCCCGAGAUAAGUCUUCCCUUGAGGGGCGUAGGAGACUACUACGUUGAUAGGCUGCAGGUGUAAAGACAGCAAUGUCAAAGCCGAGCAGUACUAAUUACCCGAUAGGCUUUCUU